rnacentral:rRNA from 1 species
AUUGAACGCUGGCGGCAGGCCUAACACAUGCAAGUCGAACGAGUGGCGGACGGGUGAGUAAUGUCUGGGAAACUGCCUGAUGGAGGGGGAUAACUACUGGAAACGGUAGCUAAUACCGCAUCCAUUCGAUGUUCCCCGAUGGGAUUUGCUUGUUUGUGGGGGAACGGCUCACCAAGGCGACGAUCCCUAGCUUGUCUGAGAGGAUGACCAGCCACACUGGAACUGAGACACGGUCCAGACUCCUACGGGAGGCAGCAGUGGGGAAUAUUGCACAAUGGGCGCAAGCCUGAUGCAGCCAUGCCGCGUGUAUGAAGAAGGCCUUCGGGUUGUAAAGUACUUUCAGCGGGGAGGCGUUACCCGCAGAAGAAGCACCGGCUAACUCCGUGCCAGCAGCCGCGGUAAUAC